rnacentral:lncRNA from 1 species
CUUUUUUUUUUUUUUUUUUUUUUUUUGGUUUUUCGAGACAGGGUUUCUCUGUAUAGCCCUGGCUGUCCUGGAACUCACUCUGUAGACCAGGCUGGCCUCGAACUCAGAAAUCUGCCUGCCUCUGCCUCCUGAGAGCUGGGAUUAAAGGCGUGUGCCACCACUGCCCAGCGCUCACGUCACAUUUUUAUGCCAUUUUAUUCCAGCUUCAAAAUGAUCACCAAGGUCGGAAGCCAGCCAGAAAGAGGGAAGAUAUUUGAUGAGAUUUCCAAGAAAAUUAUUCAAAUUACGUGCCAGUGCACAGGACCACAAAAAUUUUGUGACAAGCAAGAACCAAACCCCGUGUAUCUCACCGAUUCGGAAGCGUCCACUAACCACACUCUGCAGAGGCACCCUCUAUGUUGAAAUUGAUGACUAAUUCCAUCAAAGCAUUGAUGAGGCCCAGUUCUAACAGUCUGUUGGUAUCUACUCCAUGAGUGACACAUCUGGAGAUUUUCCACUGCCUGAAAGCUGCCUCGCGCCUAACCAUGUUUUUCUAUGGGUCUCGUGUGAAGAAGAAUCUCCAUUGGGUGAACGAGUUGACAGCGUUGCAUGAGAACCUUGGCGUCUGAUAUUCACACCUGCUUGUGAAACAAACUACCGAGUGUUUCAAUUACCCUCUGACCUUAGAAAAAUGGAGGCUUCUAAUUUGAGCUGUUGCUAGUCUUAAGCAAACAGCUUCUGCAGUUUUACACAACACUCUUGCUAGCCAAAGGAAGAAAAGUGUUGAGGUUUUGUUUUUUUCCCCUGUGUGCAAAAGUUAGAAACAAUUUUCACUUUCAUUUCAGACUAUGAAAGCCAAGUCACAGCCAUAGCCACCCUCAUUGAGAUGUAGCUCUACCUGCAUUGGCAGGGUUACUCUUCAUGUGAGUCAGAGUAGAACCCAUCACUGGUUCUGGAUUCCAGUGGAAAGGUAUGAAUUAAAGUAAGCAGGGGCCAUAGCGAUGUGGCCAGCAAAGUUCUUGCUCAACAAGCAUGCUCACCAAGUUCAAAGCCAACACCUCUAUUUAAAAAACUGGGACCAAGCAUUCUGGAGCAUGACUUUAACCCCUAUACUCAGAAGAUGGAGGUAGAUGUUAUCUCUGUGAGUUUAAGGUCAACCUGCUCUACAUAUGGAGUUCCAGGACAACCCGGGACUACAUAGAGGGACCCUGCCUCAAACAAACAGAAAUAACGACAAACAAGACAUGCCAGCCCUGGGGCUGGAGAGAUGAGUCUUCAGUUUAGAGCACGGGCCUCUCUCACAUAGGACUUGGGUUCCAUUCUAGCAUCACUACGGCAGCUUACAACCACCUGUAACUCUAGUUCCAGGGACUCUGACGCUCUCUCCUGGCUCCUGCAGUAACCAGGAUCACAUGUAGUACACAUGUAUACAUGUAGGCAAAACAUUCAUAAAGUAAGCAAAUGAUUUGUAAAAUUCAAAGUGAGUUGUCAGAGUCCUGUGAACCUGUAGGGUCAGUGUUGGAGAGGCAGAGAUAGGUUAGACCCUGGGUCUUGGUAGGUAGCUGGUCUAGCCAACACAGGAAGCUCCUGACUUAUCGAGAGAGCCUGUCUCAAAGCAUAAGAGGGGUGGGUGCUGCCAAGAUGGCUGAUCAAGUAAAGGGGUUUGUCACCAAGCCUGAGGGCCUGAGCUGGAUCCCCAAGACACACAUGAUGGAAGAAGAGAAACAGACCCCCAAGUUAUCCUCUGACUACCCUAUAGCAUGAGUGCACCCACAUUUAUUCAUGUACAAGCAAAUAAAUAUAAUAAACAAUUUUAAUAAAGAAAAAGG